GUGUUGCCCAGAGAUGGUCACCCAAGAGGGGGGUGAAUUGGGUGUUUUAAAAACUUUUGACUGUUUAAAAAUAGAACUCACAAAUGUAUGAGCUAAACAAAAAUAAAGCUAUGAAGACAAGCAAUCGCAAACACAAGCUUUUAUAGUGGUUCGGAGCCUCCACCGCUCCUACAUCCACUCCCCAAAGCACCGUUGGGAAUUUCCACUAUAA
rnacentral:lncRNA from 1 species